rnacentral:lncRNA from 1 species
AUGGUUUCUUAACUGAGGGGUAAGAUUGCAUUCCAGGAUCAUUUAGAAGCUUGGGAGAGGGGGACUGCCUAGAUGUAGUAGCAUCCAAGAAUCCUUAGUAUUUAGGCAGUAAUAGUUCAAACAGUUUUGGUUUCCUUUCAGUUUGGUCUUACAGAUUUUAAGACUGGAUGUUAGUUCAUAAUAUUUUAGCAUUGAUGUCAAGAAAGCAGUAGGCUACAGUCUUUUUUCUUGGAAAAGUAAUAAAAAAUAAUUAGUACAAAAGAAAUUUACCAAUCUACCUGAAUCUUGGAUCAGGAUGUAGAGUUUAUCAAAUUUCAGUUAUCUAGUAAUCUGAUGCAUGAUUUGGCUUUGUUAGCAAUUGUUGGUGCAACCAAUGACUAAGAAUG